AACUCCUGACCUCAAGUGAUCCGCCCACCUCGGCCUCCCAAAGUGCUGGGAUUACAGGCAUGAGCCACCGCUCCGGGCCCUUGCACAUAUUUUUUUAUGAACACACAGGCAGCAGCACUUUGAUUACAGUAACUUACAUGGAAGUUAUUUUAAAAUGGCUUUCCCCUUCUCUUUUUCAUGUAGGCUGCAUUUUUCAUCUGCAGCACGCUUUCUCUCAAGAAUCUCAAGCACACACAAGAAACCAGAGAGUAAAAUCACUGAGGCGUGAACACAUCCAGAGACCAAGGGCGUCACUGGCAGAAAAGCUUUUAGGCGGAUCCACGGCCCGAGAGCCACCCUGCCCAGAGACGCGGUUUCCUAGGAGCAGUUCACACGCGGCUCUGCAGCACCCACAAGCGGGGCCAGGGGCUGGUUUUCAUAGUUCACAGUCUGCAGGGAUCUUAACAAAAACAUGGCCGUGGUAAAAGUGCCUAGACCAGGCUUUCGUCACAACUCAUCAUGUUACUAGGUUAGGAUAAUAAAAAGGACUGUGAACUUCACAUCUGCCAUCUAUAAUAGAUUCUUAUUGUAGCAAUCUUGCACCAAGGGGAUUUCUUUAUUAACUCUGCCAAAUUUUCCAAAAUUACCAAAUGGAGAAAAGAGCUGGUCCCAUCUGUCACCAGGCACAACCAGACCGGGCGCUGUGGCUCAAGCCUGUAAUCCC
rnacentral:lncRNA from 1 species